AGAGUUUGAUCAUGGCUCAGAACGAACGCUGGCGGCAGGCCUAACACAUGCAAGUCGAACGAGAAGCCACCUUCGGGUGGUAGACAGUGGCAGACGGGUGAGUAACGCGUGGGAACGUGCCUUUCGGUUCGGGAUAACCCAGGGAAACUUGGGCUAAUACCGGAUACGCCCUUCGGGGGAAAGAUUCAUUGCCGAAAGAUCGGCCCGCGUCGGAUUAGCUAGUUGGUGGGGUAAUGGCCUACCAAGGCGACGAUCCGUAGCUGGUCUGAGAGGAUGACCAGCCACACUGGGACUGAGACACGGCCCAGACUCCUACGGGAGGCAGCAGUGGGGAAUAUUGGACAAUGGGCGCAAGCCUGAUCCAGCCAUGCCGCGUGGGUGAAGAAGGCCUUAGGGUUGUAAACCCCUUUCAGCGGGGAAGAUAAUGACGGUACCCGCAGAAGAAGUCCCGGCUAACUCCGUGCCAGCAGCCGCGGUA
rnacentral:rRNA from 1 species